GAUGAAGAACGUAGCGAAAUGCGAUAAGUAAUGUGAAUUGCAGAAUUCAGUGAAUCAUCGAAUCUUUGAACGCACCUUGCACUCCUUGGUAUUCCGAGGAGCAUGCCUGUUUGAGUGUCAUGAAAUUCUCAACCUUUUCAGCUUUCUUUGUUGAUCAGGCUUGGAUGUGGGAGUAUGCGGGCUUCUCAGAAGUCGGCUCUCCUGAAAUGCAUUAGCGGGACCUUUGUUGCCUGGCUUUGGUGUGAUAAUUAUCUACGCCAUUGUGGUCAAGCAGCUUAAAAUGAGGUUUCAGCUUCUAACCGUCUCCCCUGAGACAACUUUUUGACAAUUUGACCUCAAAUCAGGUAGGACUACCCGCUGAACUUAAGCAUAUCAAUAAGCGGAGGA
rnacentral:misc_RNA from 1 species